AAUGAACGCUGGCGGCAUGCCUAACACAUGCAAGUCGAACGAAGCCUUCGGGCUUAGUGGCGCACGGGUGCGUAACGCGUGGGAAUCUGCCCUUGGGUUCGGAAUAACAGUUAGAAAUGACUGCUAAUACCGAAUGAUGUCGUAAGACCAAAGAUUUAUCGCCCAGGGAUGAGCCCGCGUAGGAUUAGCUAGUUGGUGUGGUAAAGGCGCACCAAGGCGACGAUCCUUAGCUGGUCUGAGAGGAUGAUCAGCCACACUGGGACUGAGACACGGCCCAGACUCCUACGGGAGGCAGCAGUGGGGAAUAUUGGACAAUGGGCGAAAGCCUGAUCCAGCAAUGCCGCGUGAGUGAUGAAGGCCUUAGGGUUGUAAAGCUCUUUUACCCGGGUAUGAUAAUGACAGUACCGGGAGAAUAAGACUCCGGCUAACUCCGUGCCAGCAGCCGCGGUAAU
rnacentral:rRNA from 1 species